rnacentral:rRNA from 1 species
UACGUAGGGAGCAAGCGUUGUCCGGAAUUACAGGGCGUAAAGGGUGCGGAGGCGGCCGUUUAAGUUGGAUGUGAAAUACCCGGGCUCAACCUGGGGGGUGCAUUCAAAACUGGAUGGCUUGAGUGCAGGAGAGGGAAGCGGAAUUCCUAGUGUAGCGGUGAAAUGCGUAGAUAUUAGGAGGAACACCAGUGGCGAAGGCGGCUUUCUGGACUGUAACUGACGCUGAGGCACGAAAGCGUGGGGAGCAAACAGG